rnacentral:lncRNA from 1 species
CCAAACUCUAUUCUCCUUUUUUUUUCAAAAUUCACAAACCUUAGAUCUAUUCCAAAGCUUAUCAGAUCUGCACUUCAAAGAGAAACCGAGACUUCAAAAGUUUGAGUUCAUUUUGUCCAAGCUCAGAUCUGCACAAAAGCAUCUCAUAUAUGCCUCUCGUCGCUGUCUCCUCACGUCAUCGACCACUUCGUCCGCCACCUCUGCCACCUCGCUGUAGACUCA